GACGAAGGAGGCAAGCGUUGUUCGGAAUUACUGGGCGUAAAGGGCGCGUAGGCGGUCUCAUAAGUCCCGUGUGAAAGCCCCCGGCUCAACCGGGGAACGGCACGGGAAACUGCGAGGCUUGAGUUCGGGAGAGGGAAGCGGAAUUCCGGGUGUAGCGGUGAAAUGCGUAGAUAUCCGGAGGAACACCAGUGGCGAAGGCGGCUUCCUGGACCGAUACUGACGCUGAGGCGCGAAAGCUAGGGGAGCAAACGGG
rnacentral:rRNA from 1 species